UCCAGGUGGACUUAUAUACUGAGGAUGAGCUAUGGAUGGUCAGACCACGGAUCUCCACCAUGAACACAUUCUGUGUGGGCGUGGUUUUGCUUGUUGCACUUGCUGAAGUCCAUUCCGGCUACAUCAGUCGGGGAUGGAGUAGCGGUGGAGGUGGAGGUGGAUGGAGUAGCGGCGGUGGUGGAGG